GAGACUGGCAACUUAGUGGCAGCGCUGAGAACGGGUUUACUAUCGCGGGGCAAUUGGUUGGAAUAACGACCUUCCAGCGGGAAAUGCGCGAACCCGGGCGCAAACAGUGUGACUGCAAGAAAUAGUCAAUCGAAUUCAAGAAAGCAAUACACCUGGUCAUGGAUAUUCAAGUGGCUGAAAUAGGGAUGCUUUUGUCUUGAAGAUACCUUCAACAUCCGAAGGUUUUCCUCUGACGGUUCCUGUCAUCCUCGCCUUCUGAUAUAAAAGCAGUGGCUUCAUACGAUUGCACGAGGUGGAUCGGAGAUGACUUGGCAAGUUAAAGUGGCUACUUGGGGAAAAAGACGCAACAACGACCUGUCGCCUAAGAACAGGCAUUGGUAGGCCACUUCGACCAAGAUCGACAUCUGAAACGAAACGGAAAGCAGUAAAACACACGACCAGCGUACAUCCUACAAGUCUGUCUGUUUCCUUCAUGUACAUGUACGCCAGGAUACGCGACAACACUUCCGUCCGGAGGACACUGAUAUGACGUCAUGGAAAAGUGUUGGGAGCACAAUAAGAGCAGGAAAACACAAACUGCUUCAUUAACCGUACCGCCACAGGUCUAAAAUUAGUUUCAUUUAAACUUAACCUAGAGAAGGUUGAUUCAGUUGUGUUGCGGUUAAACCCAUGUAAUACACAACAAUGGAAUUCUAUAACAGGGAUUUUUCUAAUUAAUUAUGAUGCUUAAACAGUCUAAUGAUUAAUUAUGCUUGUUUUGGUGGGGCUUGAUGAAUUUUGGACGACGGUUUCAUCGCCCGGUUCCAAAAAUGCAACAUGGUGGGUGCGCAGGGGAAGUGAGGCUGUCGCAGACAUGCGUAAGACGGUCUCAUUAACAUAAGUGAUGACUGUUGGAGUGGCUCAACAAUGACUCGAAACACAAUGAGUUGUGCUACAACAAAUUUGAAGAGGGAAUUGUUGGCGAACAAAGGGUAACUGAGGUCGGAGAGUGAAGAGCAGAAUAAUAUCAUUAUCCUUCCAUUGAAGUUAUUUUUGCCGCUUUUCAUCGUUCAAGAUGUAAAGCAUGUUUGCAAAAUGGGUGUGUUUUUAAGAUAUGAAAAAGCCGCGAGAUUGGGAUUUUCCGCCCUCAAGUGCUACGCCCCUCUUCUCUAUGAUUUCUUUCGCAAAUAAACGCCAGGCGACUACAUCCCAACUGUCAUUGAGUAAAAACGGCCGCACUACUCACUCGUCGGUUUAAACAUGGAUGUUUUGCUCUACAUCCGUGGUAUA